ensembl:lncRNA
GUUCUGACACUGAUUAGACCUAGCUAGACUGUUACCGUGGAUACAGUAUAGCAGGGUUCUGACACUGACACUGAUUACACCUAGACCUAGCUAGACUGUUACCGUGGAUACGGUAUAGCAGGGUUCUGACACUGAUUAGACCUAGCUAGACUGUUACCGUGGAUACGGAAUAGCAGGGUUCUGACACUGAUUACACCUAGACCUACCUAGACUGUUACCGUGGAUACGGAAUAGCAGGGUUCUGACACUGAUUACACCUAGACCUACCUAGACUGUUACCGUGGAUACAGUAUAGCAGGGUUCUGACACUGAUUACACCUAGACCUACCUAGACUGUUACCGUGGAUACGGUAUAGCAGGGUUCUGACACUGAUUACACCUAGACCUACCUAGACUGUUACCGUGGAUACGGUAUAGCAGGGGUUCUGACACUGAUUACACCUAGACCUACCUAGACUGUUACCGUGGAUACGGAAUAGCAGGGUACUGACACUGAUUACACCUAGACCUACCUAAACUGUUACCGUGGAUACGGUAUAGCAGGGUACUGACACUGAUUACACCUAGACCUACCUAAACUGUUACCGUGGAUACGGUAUAGCAGGGGUUCUGACACUGAUUACACCUAGACCUACCUAGACUGUUACCAUGGAUACAGUAUAGCAGGGUUCUGACACUGAUUACACCUAGACCUACCUAGACUGUUACCGUUACCCUGCUAUACUGUUACGGUAUAGCAGGGUUCCACCAACUUGCGGUUGACAUGUGAUCGUAAUACAAAUGUAACCAACGUUUGAAAUAAUGAUGUUUUAUAGUCAAUUAUUAUGUCUGUACAAGUAAUUUGUAAUUAUGUUCUGGCACCCUGACCGUCAGUUAAAAAAAAUAAUAAUCUGCCUGCGGUUGAAUCUAGUUGAUGCUCCCUGCUGUAGAUAAAACACACAAUCUGAACCUGCGGUUGAAUCUAGUUGAUGCUCCCUGCUGUAGAUAAAACACACGAUCUGAACCUGCGGUUGAAUCUAGUUGAUGCUCCCUGCUGUAGAUAAAACACACGAUCUGAACCUGCGGUUGAAUCUAGUUGAUGCUCCCUGCUGUAGAUAAAACACACGAUCUGAACCUGCGGUUGAAUCUAGUUGAUGCUCCCUGCUGUAGAUGAAACACACGAUCUGAACCUGCGGUUGAAUCUAGUUGAUGCUCUCUGCAGUAGAAUACGGACAGUGUCUUUAAGACAGAAUGAUUUCCAUACAUUUUUUUAAAGGAAAAAGUAUCUCAGUUUAAUUCAGUGUCAUCAUGUGGAUGCUCUCCCUCUUCCUCCACUUUCUCCUCUUCAUCAACAUCGUUCUCCUCUUGCUCUCUGUUGUGUUCUCUCAAAUACUACUACUCCCUCUUUUCUCUCAAUACUUUUACUACUGCUACUGCCCUCUGUUUUCUCUACCCUCCUCUCUGUCCAAUCCAGUCUUGUUUGUCCGUACUGAAACUUGACAUUAAUUUGAGCUCUGAAGGAUUUACUAACACAAUUGAACUUCGUCUCUUAGCAACUCUGUGUGUGCGUAAUACUGCGCACACGAGUACGUGUGUAUGAAUGCUUGUGCCAGGAGCCCUCGAGUUCAGUGUUGGUGGGUAAAAGUGCUCAGAACUUCUCCCUCUGUAUUCCUAUUACCACCAAUCGAUUCAACUCUUGGUUUUAGAUUUGUCUUUGAGGAAGUAAUGAGAAGUGUAUUGGUUUAGAUUUUAUUAAGUUGUGUAUAUUUGAGUUUAAAAAAAAAAAAAUGUAGAUUUCUUUUCUCUUUUUUUUUUCUCUCCAAUAGAUUGUUUUGUUUCUUAUUUAUGUCGUCGAAAUAGAGAAUAACAUUCUAUAUAUCCAAAGUGGUGGUUAUGCCUGUUGGCUAUAUCUCUGUAUUUAGUCCGACUGAAUAUGAGAGUAUGGCUGUAUCUCCCUAUGUAGGGCACACUUUAAAAAAACACGUUUUUUUUAACCAGAGCCCUACUCAUGGGACCUGGUCUAAAGUAGUGCACUAUAUAGGGAAUAGGGUUCUAUAGGGUCCUGGUCUAAAGUAGUGCACUAUAUAGGGAAUAGGGUUCUAUAGGGUCCUGGUCUAAAGUAGUGCACUAUAUAGGGAAUAGGGUGCCAUUUGUGAUUCAUGCUAAAAGACCAGUUUACUACAAUGAAGCAGCAGCUGCAUCAUCAGGUUCUGGGUGUUCCAACACCCUCAGUAGUCACGCCGACUCGCUAGCCAAUCAUCUUUGAGCAGCAUGUUGGUUGUAUGUGUGAUGUAAUGCGUUGAUGGAUCUCAUUUGUGUUUUUAGAUGUUAUAUAUAUAUUGUUGUUAGAUUUUGUUUUACCUCAUGUUAGCAGGCUGUGUUAUACUCAAGACUUUUCAGUGUCAAUCCAAAAUUUUAUCCACUUGUCAUUUUGUCCUAACCUGAGUGCCAGUCUGUUUGUGCUAUCAUACCAACUCCUCGUCACUCAUUGGCACUCGGCUUGAAAAGGACAUUUUAAUGGGGUUGGCAGGAGCACAAACAGGUCUGGGACCAGCCUCCAUUUUGUUGAGCUCCAGUGUAAGAAAGAGUAAAAAUCCGUCCGAGAGCAUCUUCCUUUACAUUCCUUUUCUUUUCUUUCUUAGAAGGUUCAAUUAUCAAGUCAAACAUUUUUAAUUGGUUGUAGUUAAUUGGUUAAUUGGCCUGCCCCACUACUUACUCAUUUUGAUUUGAUUUGAUUCUAUUAUCAGAAUAUCUGUUAACAUGAAGACAUUGACAAAUGAAAAUGACAUUUCUGUUACCCACAAAUCCUUGCUGUUGGUUUCUUUCUCUUUUGAGGUGUUGAAAUACAUGCAACUUGUCGGAGAGAAUGUGAUGUGUAUACAAAACUAAGUUCUACCGGAUAAAGAAACAACAUCGUGUUAAACUGUUUAAAACAACAACAAAAAAUGUUAGUGCAAAUAUAUAGUGGUAAGAAUAAUAAUGAAGCAUUGUUUUAUUUUGUAUCUUUUUUUUAAAUAAAUGAAUAUAUAUAUAUAUAUAUAGCUUAAAUGGUAUGUAACUAGGUGUGUGGUCAUUUGAAUAAAUGGUUGAGUUCUCCUGUAAAUACAGUGGAAGUAAAUAGUAGAUGACCAUAUAUCCUAUCUUCUGUCUGAAAGAGAAGACGGGUGUCAUUUAUCUGAUGUGCUGUUGUAAAAUAAAUGUUUCUGAUGCUUAAACAA